CCGCCCAAGAGUUAUUAAACCGUCCAUUGUCCUCCGUUCGAGCCCCAAACAUGAACACUGGCAAUCUCAAGGAACCAAAGGAUCCAUCUAUGACCAUGACAAAACAGAGUCCUGAGAUGAUGCUUAGUGGCACCCUGAUGAACUCAAACCACUGGGUCGUCCUUUGCAAGUGAACCCCUUGGAGAAGCGAACCCUCAAGAGUCAACUGACUGUCUUGCUCAUCAAGCCUUCUCCAGAGUCUACCCUACUCCCAGACAGAGACCCAAACUACACCUUGAGGAGUAGACUUCGUAGAUCUAAAUAACAUCAAAGAUCAACAAAUCCAGACAUUUGAGAGUGUCAGAUCUUCAUUCAGAAUGGGAGUACCUCUGCCUUGAACAAUCAAUCAACUUUACAGAUCAACUAAAUCCAGACAGAGAGUUCCGUAUAUUCACAAGGAGUUUGCAGCUCAUCGAUCAUACAACCAUCAACAUCGAUGCCUCAACCUAUUUGUAUACUUUGUAAUUAGUUGUAGAUAGCGGGCAUAGAUUUUACGUUGUUAAUUGUGUGGUGAGUUGUUCACACUUUCCCUUGUGUGUAGAAUUGAUCACACUUUCCCCUGUGAAAUUCUGCACUCCCCCUGUGUUGUGAAUUUCUUGCACAUCCAAUUUGUGUUGUGAAUUUCUCCCACUUCCACUAAGAGUGGCUCAUACUUUUACUUUGUGUCGUGAAUUAUCAAGUUUAUAAACUGAAACGUUGUCUAGGGCUGAGUUGGAAGAAUAUUUCGCUAUUGUAGCACAUUCAUUAAGCUCACUAAAUUUAGAUGUAUGCUGAUGUAUGAAGUUGACAAACUUAUAAGUUGCCAUAUAGUGGAGCCGGCAUGGGAAUUUGUCCCCACGGGGGUUUUGGCCCAUCUCAUAUAUCAGCAAUUAGCAGGCAUGCAAUAUCUGAUUUGUAUGGUUUUGGUUUUCACAGCCAUAACAAUGUAAAAAACACAGCACAAAAUCUUGCUGUGCCUGGUGUUCUGGAAAUGUCAAAUCUUAUAUCAAAAUACAGAGUUAAAUGACUGAAAUUGGAGACACUUAAGUGUAUAAAUUCUUAGGCGUCAAACAAAAUUUGAC